AUUGAACGCUGGCGGAAUGCUUUACACAUGCAAGUCGAACGGCAGCACAGACUUCGGUCUGGUGGCGAGUGGCGAACGGGUGAGUAAUGUAUCGGAACGUGCCCAGUCGUGGGGGAUAACGUAGUGAAAAUUACGCUAAUACCGCAUACGAUCUAUGGAUGAAAGCGGGGGAUCGCAAGACCUCGCGCGAUUGGAGCGGCCGAUAUCAGAUUAGGUAGUUGGUGGGGUAAAGGCCCACCAAGCCAACGAUCUGUAGCUGGUCUGAGAGGACGACCAGCCACACUGGAACUGAGACACGGUCCAGACUCCUACGGGAGGCAGCAGUGGGGAAUUUUGGACAAUGGGCGCAAGCCUGAUCCAGCCAUUCCGCGUGCAGGAUGAAGGCCCUCGGGUUGUAAACUGCUUUUGUACAGAACGAAAAGGUUUCUACUAAUACUGGGAGCUCAUGACGGUACUGUAAGAAUAAGCACCGGCUAACUACGUGCCAGCCGCCGCGGUAA
rnacentral:rRNA from 1 species